UACGAAGGGGGCUAGCGUUGUUCGGAAUUACUGGGCGUAAAGCGCGCGCAGGCGGCUAUCCAAGUCAGUGGUGAAAGCCCGGAGCUCAACUCCGGAACUGCCAUUGAAACUGUUUAGCUUGAGGACGAGAGAGGUGAGUGGAAUUCCCAGUGUAGAGGUGAAAUUCGUAGAUAUUGGGAAGAACACCAGUGGCGAAGGCGGCUAACUGGACCAUUCUUGACGCUGAGGAACGAAAGCGUGGGGAGCAAACAGG
rnacentral:rRNA from 1 species